AGUGGCAGACGGGUGAGUAACGCGUGGGAAUCUACCCAUCUCUGCGGAAUAGCUCUGGGAAACUGGAAUUAAUACCGCAUACGCCCUACGGGGGAAAGAUUUAUCGGGGAUGGAUGAGCCCGCGUUGGAUUAGCUAGUUGGUGGGGUAAAGGCCUACCAAGGCGACGAUCCAUAGCUGGUCUGAGAGGAUGAUCAGCCACAUUGGGACUGAGACACGGUCCAACUACCUACGGGAGGCAGCAGUGGGGAAUAUUGGACAAUGGGCGCAAGCCUGAUCCAGCCAUGCCGCGUGAGUGAUGAAGGCCUUAGGGUUGUAAAGCUCUUUCACCGGUGAAGAUAAUGACGGUAACCGGAGAAGAAGCCCCGGCUAACUUCGUGCCAGCAGCACGCAG
rnacentral:rRNA from 1 species